rnacentral:rRNA from 1 species
UACGGAGGGUGCGAGCGUUGUCCGGAAUCACUGGGCGUAAAGGGCGCGUAGGCGGCCUGAUAAGUAGGGGGUGAAAUCCUGCGGCUUAACCGCAGGGCUGCCUUCUAAACUGUCAGGCUGGAGCACAGUAGAGGCAGGUGGAAUUCCCGGUGUAGCAGUGAAAUGCGUAGAUAUCAGGAGGAAUACCGAUGGCGAAGGCAGGUCUCUGGGCUAUAACUGACGCUCAUGCA